UACGUAGGGUGCGAGCGUUGUCCGGAAUUAUUGGGCGUAAAGAGCUUGUAGGCGGUUUGUCGCGUCUGCCGUGAAAUUUCGAGGCUCAACCUCGAACUUGCGGUGGGUACGGGCAGACUAGAGUGUGGUAGGGGAGACUGGAAUUCCUGGUGUAGCGGUGAAAUGCGCAGAUAUCAGGAGGAACACCAGUGGCGAAAGCGACUUCCUGGGGCGUUCCUGACGCUGAGGUUCGAAAGCUCGGGGAGCAAACAGG
rnacentral:rRNA from 1 species